rnacentral:lncRNA from 9 species
GGUCUCGGGCACGCCCUGAGAUGAGAAUUUCAUCUAAGGGUCGGCACACCAUCACCACCACUACACACCUACACACUGCUCUGGGUGCAUCGAUGACCGCGCUGCCAGCGGCCCCCCCCUCCCCGCCCCGCGCCACGUCCUCAGCGGGCCCGGGCACCCCUCUUAUUCACCCACACCUCUCCCACGCAGGAGGAAGGAAGACUGGGCAUAAGGCAUCCCAUUCUCGCUGCCUUCCCCCUUCCCCUUCUCGGGAGACAGAGAACCCUGUAGCUUUUUCCCUUUUUCUUCCCGGUCUGAACAAAGACCCGGUUGGGGCUGAAAGCCUAAAAUCCUAGAUCAGAGUCUGAUCCGUUGUCCUCUGCAGCCCACAGGCUGGGACUCUGCUGUCCUGGGAGGAGGGAUCAUGGAAGAGACCAGGUGCCACUUGGUCCUGGCUGCAGGCCUGGGCAGUAAAAGCCGGGGGCGGGCCUCUGGGCCAAGCUCAAGAGAGUCACACUCUGAGAACCUAGCCAAAACCCUCCUUCGUCUGUAUCAGCAAGCCCCCCACCCCAUCCCCAGCCUCAUCUUUGUUGGGAUUCCAAGAUUGGAUUGCACACACUGCUGGGGAGAAAUAUGAAAGUCAGGCAUGGCUUGGGUUUCCAAGAGUGGGGAGCCUAGGGCUGGGGAAUUGAGUUUCCUGGCAGAGAGCACAGAGUCUCCCUCCCCUGUACCCGAGUUCCCACUACACGGAGUGGACCAGUUCCCUUGAAUGGAGAUGCAUUAAUUCCCCCCACCCUGUGCUUGUCAUCCCAGGCUCCAUCUUCCUCCCCUGUCUGGCUCCCCCAACUCCACCAUCGCCUUCAAGACCUUAAGGGGUUGGACCAGCCUGUUGGACCAGCCAGGACUGCCCACAGAAAAGAUAUGCCACACAUUCUGCUUCCCAGACCCCUGCCUGGGAAGAGUGGGACUCCACAGGUCUGGGGGAAGCCUGGGAGUGGCACCUAUGAGCAGCUGCCUCAGAGAUUCUUAAUCAUUUUACAGAUACCUCCAGAGCACUUAACCAUGUGCUCUGCCGGUCUCUGGGGACACAGAGAUGCAUGGCUCUUGGGACAGUCGCAUUGGGAAGAUCCCGUCUGCUCAGAGCUCAGCUGCUGGCUGCUUCCUCCAUCAAACCCUCACCCAAGGCCUGUCUCAGGCAGAAGCACCUGUCACCCCAGCCUUGACACCGGGCCAAUUAUCUUAGACACCUGGAUGAGACAACAGCCUGGAUCAUCCCCCUCAGGCCACAACACCAGCACAAGGUCCAGACCACCGCCAGGCAGACCUCAGUGCCUGAGAUGCCGGGAUGGCAUCUUGCUUUGCCUAAGUGGGUUCUGACACGUCGCUGUUUCUUCUCAUUAAAAAGAAAAACAAAAACACAAAUCUAAGUAAUGUGUGCCCAGCACCCACCACAGAUGUUUGUGUCUUCAGCGUGUGCAUGUCAGGUAAACCCAUCCACGGGAGCCCAGAGUCAGCCCAUACUGAGAGGUCAAACCAGGGACAGGGUGCUCUUAGGGUCAUGGACAUAACGGACGUCAAAC